rnacentral:rRNA from 1 species
AUAAGAUUGUAGUAUCGCAUGAUACAGCAAUUAAAGGAGCAAUUCGCUAUAAGAUGGACCCGCGUCGCAUUAGCUAGUUGGUGAGGUAAUGGCUCACCAAGGCGACGAUGCGUAGCCGACCUGAGAGGGUGAUCGGCCACAUUGGGACUGAGACACGGCCCAGACUCCUACGGGAGGCAGCAUG